GGAGAGAGUCCGGUUGGUCGAGGAAGCUGUCUUGAAAACAGCCAGCCUGAAAAGGUCCGGGGUUCGAUUCCCUCUCUCUCCG
rnacentral:tRNA from 1 species